UCAGCUCUGGGCAAAUCACCUAUCUGUGCCUGUAUUUAUUCAUCCACAAUCCCCAAAAGCUCAGAGGAAGUUGAGGGAAAGUGUAAAUCUCUAGAUAAGGGCAGGACAUGUCUGCUGCAGCCUUGAAUCUGGGACUCCCCGUGGGGUGAGGGGCCCCCUGAGGCCAUCUGUCCUUUGCACUCCCAGGGGCAUUAGCAGUAUGGUCAGGUGCUGCAUCCACAAGCCCACGAGCCAGGAGCAUGCUGUGAAGGUCAUCGACGUCACCAGUGGAAGCAGCUUCACCCCCGAGGAGGUGCAGGAGCUGCAAGAAGCCACACUGAAGGAGGUUGACAUCCUGCACAAGGUCUCAGGGCACCUCAACAUCAAGCCACCCAGAGUUCCCUUGCUGAGGAUCUGAGCAUGACCCGGGAUGAGGCACUGCCGGACUCUCAUUCCGCACAGGACUUCCAUGACAAUUAUUAGCCCAACGAGAUCCUGGGCAGGCUGGAGUUGCAAUCUCAGCUCACCACAACCU